AUGCUGGACUAUCCCGUUUGUUGAUUCCGACUAAUUUCGUUGACCGCAUCUGUUAAUACCAUUCACUUUUGAGCUACCUCUUCCGCGCUGCAGCUCUGGCUUUUGUGCGGCAAUGCUUAGUUAAUGAACUUCGAGGAUAUACGCUUUCCUGGCGCUGCUUUCCUUGACUGUGGCCUUCUCACUGCGCAGUGCGUCGUUUUUAAUUGGGACUAAGGCAAUGUGUGCUUUGGCAAGAGAUCGAAAAACAGUUUGGGCUUCUAUUCAUCAACCAUGCAGUGAAGUGUUUGAACUCCUGGAUCAGUUGUACUCGCUCGAAGGUGGCAGAACUGUUUAUUGUCGCCAAGCUUCUGAGGCAUAUGAGGUACCAGUCUACCAAUCUAUUCACUUUUGUGCACGUCAUAAUCUUGCCUAUUGCAACAUGCCAUGACUUCCUAUUUGCUGAAUUCCCCCGCUAAGCUAACAUUGGCAGCGUAACUUUUGCUAUUCAGAUUUGGUGCUGAUCAUUAAACUGGUUAACAACCGAGUAGAUGAAAUCAACCAAUGCCUCUACGCGUCCUCUGAUUUAUUUUUGGCUGACAAUAUGUGCCUUUGGCCAUCGGCUGACUCGGGUGAAAAUGGUGAUUCCAACCCUGAUUUUUAUAGGCUUCUCUUCCUUGCAUUGGAUCCCGUGGCCGGACAACCAUGGUAAUGAGUUUCGCGUCAUGUUAGACAAGGUUGGUAACAAUAUUUUUUUUUUUCGAGGGCUCUCGUUCCAUGGUUGCCGCGUACAACAUAAGACAUGGGGCUUGGUUGCGCGCCUACUAUGAAGGUGACAGUACUCUAUGCACCUCUAUAAGGAACCUUGAUGGAUCCCGCAUUGUGUACCCAAGGCCACGUUCUCGGAGCAGCUUUGCUGCUCCAGCAAGCAGUGGUGUUAAUCAUCAUCGAACCCGCGUCGUUUCUCGUGAUGUGAUGCAUACCGGCGACGUUAUACUUCCAUUUUCCAUUGAAUACACUCCUCUGACUUCUCCUGUUUGUAGCAACGCCUUCGGCAGCCCAUUGAUCUCAACCAAUAGCCUCGGCUGUCCUGUGUAUGUUGCCUCGACUACGUCACACGCGAGUCCCGUGGGCCAUGUUGAUCUUGGUUCGCAGAUCCGAUCACUUAGUCCGACCCAUGCAGGAGAUGUUGCCAGUUUCUCCGAGUGGAUUCGUCGUUAGAUUUGUUCUCGACCUUUCCUUCUGACCCAUGAUUCUCCUACCAUAUCUAAUGCAUGUUUCAAGUUUAGUCUCGACUCCUCGCCUUUUCUUCAGUUGUGGUUUGGGAGUUCCUCCAGCG